rnacentral:rRNA from 1 species
CAGCACCUCAAGUGGUCAGGAUGAUUAUUGGGCCUAAAGCAUCCGUAGCCUGCUUUGUUAGUUUUCGGUUAAAUCCAUACGCUCAACGUAUGGGCUGCCGGGAAUACUGCAAGGCUAGGGAGUGGGAGAGGUAGACGGUACUCGGUAGGAAGGGGUAAAAUCCUUUGAUCUAUUGAUGACCACCUGUGGCGAAGGCGGUCUACCAGAACACGUCCGACGGUGAGGGAUGAAAGCUGGGGGAGCAAACCGGAUUAGAUACCCGAGUAGUCC